rnacentral:rRNA from 1 species
ACUAGCAGUAAGAGUUUGAUCAUGGCUCAGAACGAACGCUGGCGGCAUGCCUAACACAUGCAAGUCGAACGAGACCUUCGGGUCUAGUGGCGCACGGGUGCGUAACGCGUGGGAAUCUGCCCUUAGGUUCGGGAUAACUCGGGGAAACUUGAGCUAAUACCGGAUGAUGUCUUCGGACCAAAGAUUUAUCGCCUAAGGAUGAGCCCGCGUAGGAUUAGCUUGUUGGUGAGGUAAAAGCUCACCAAGGCGACGAUCCUUAGCUGGUCUGAGAGGAUGAUCAGCCACACUGGGACUGAGACACGGCCCAGACUCCUACGGGAGGCAGCAGUGGGGAAUAUUGGACAAUGGGCGCAAGCCUGAUCCAGCCAUGCCGCGUGAGUGAAGAAGGCCCUAGGGUUGUAAAGCUCUUUCAGCGGGGACGAUAAUGACGGUACCCGCAGAAGAAGCCCCGGCUAACUUCGUGCCAGCCGCCGCGGUAAUUC